GACGAACGCUGGCGGCGUGCUUAACACAUGCAAGUCGAACGAAGAGCGACGGAAGCUUGCUUCUAUCAAUCUUAGUGGCGAACGGGUGAGAAACGCGUAAUCAACCUGCCCUUCAGAGGGGGACAACAGUUGGAAACGACUGCUAAUACCGCAUACGAUCUAAUCUCGGCAUCGAGGAUGGAUGAAAGGUGGCCUCUACAUGUAAGCUAUCACUGAAGGAGGGGAUUGCGUCUGAUUAGCUAGUUGGAGGGGUAACGGCCCACCAAGGCGAUGAUCAGUAGCCGGUCUGAGAGGAUGAACGGCCACAUUGGGACUGAGACACGGCCCAGACUCCUACGGGAGGCAGCAGUGGGGAAUCUUCCGCAAUGGACGAAAGUCUGACGGAGCAACGCCGCGUGAGUGAUGACGGCCUUCGGGUUGUAAAGCUCUGUUAAUCGGGACGAAAGGCCUUCUUGCGAAUAGUGAGGAGGAUUGACGGUACCGGAAUAGAAAGCCACGGCUAACUACGUG
rnacentral:rRNA from 1 species